rnacentral:tRNA from 1 species
GCCUGGCUGGCUCAGUUGGUAGAGCAUGCCAGUCUUGAUCUCGGGGUUGUGAGUUCAAGCCCCACGUUGGGCA